CCUACGGGAGGCAGCAGUGGGGAAUAUUGGGCAAUGGGCGCAAGCCUGACCCAGCAACGCCGCGUGAAGGAAGAAGGCUUUCGGGUUGUAAACUUCUUUUGUCAGGGACGAAGCAAGUGACGGUACCUGCCGAAUAAGCCACGGCUAACUACGUGCCAGCAGCCGCGGUAAUACGUAGGUGGCAAGCGUUAUCCGGAUUUACUGGGUGUAAAGGGCGUGUAGGCGGGACUGCAAGUCAGAUGUGAAAACCACGGGCUCAACCUGUGGCCUGCAUUUGAAACUGGAUGGCUGGAGUGCAGGAGAGGUAAGCGGAAUUCAUAGUGGAGCGGUGAAAUGCGUAGAUAUUAGGAGGAACACCAGUGGCGAAGGCGGCUUACUGGACUGUAACUGACGUUGAGGCUCGAAAGCGUGGGGAGCAAACAGGAUUAGAUACCCGAGUAGUC
rnacentral:rRNA from 1 species